GCCGGGGUGGCGGAAUGGCAGACGCGCAUGGUUUAGGACCAUGUGUCUUUACAGACGUGGGGGUUCGACUCCUCUCCUCGGCA
rnacentral:tRNA from 1 species